AUUUAUGGCCGUCGCAGUUCUUGGAAUAUACGAUAUUGCCGGGCGGAAGGUUAUCACGCUUGAGACUAGCACAACAUAAUAAAUUGGCGUCCUCAGAUCAAUCAGAUUCAGUUCAAUUUACGCAGCGUGCGAGCUGCCAGGGUUUGUUUGUGAAUACUUAGCUUUAUCUCAACUCUUAAGUGUUUGGAUAAAUCAAAACCAUGAGACGACUACUUCUGUUUGCCGCACUAUCGGCGUUGGCUUUGGCCAAACCUGAACUUUAUAAAGAAAAAGAAGACUUUCACUAUUCUAGAAGUUCGUCGGACGAAGGUAGCAAGUCUGGAUUUUAUGGUGCGCAAAGAGGAAACAUGGGGGGUAAUUUUGAACGUGCUCACAACAUGGAUUCACUUGCUCAAAGACAUUUGAGCGGCGCGAUCUCACAAGUUGAAGGAGAGUUGGGCGAGGAGGGAUCAAAAACCAGAACGGGUAGCGUGUACACUGCUGCAAAUUCUGCGGGCUUUUAUGGAUCGGGAAAUUAUGAUCUUAGUAACCUAAGGGGACGUAAUUUUCAAGAAGGAACGUACCUAGAUAAUGCGCACUCCUCAUUGUUAUCCAACGCGCAAUAUAGUACGCAAGCGAUAAAUAGAAAUUCUCAUUAUAGCAAUAGUCAAUUCAGUAAUUCGAAUUAUCGAAAUAGUCAUCGUGCAUCUCCAUCUCAGUCACAACAUAUAAGUGACCUACAAGCUUCAGAUGGCUCACAAGGUUAUCAACAAUUUGAUUACGGAGGUCAAGCUGCAGCCGCAGAAAUUUAUUCCAAAAGCAAUGGGCGGGUUGCCUCCGAUCGAUACAGCAAUGAUCAGAAUGCCUACGACCAAUACAACUCGAAUGCACUUGCUAACAAUGAAGCGAUUAUUAACAUUGAUACUAGUGUUCAUAAGCCCAAACAUUUCCAAUCAGCAUACAGCUAUCAUAAGCAAUGGGAAAAACAUGACACAAAACCAUUAAUCAUAUCAGUACCUAAUAGUAAUUAUCCCAAAAAUAAUGAUCUUCCUAUUCCCGAAAAUAGUGAACUUUAUGAAGAUGCAGUAGCCCAAACUUCGAAUCAACAGUUUGAAGAGGCUGGAUUCAAUUCUCAUAAUCAUGCUAGUAGUAUUAACAGUGAUUAUAGUGGCCAAUCUAAAUCAUCUAGGAACUCUCGACUAAGUUCUGCAGCUAAUGGCGACGCAUACAAUCAAUUGCUGGCAGUUAGUGAUAGUAAACCAAAAACCUAUCAUUCUUCGUAUUCGUAUAAAAAGUCAUGGGAGCGUAGGGGUGAUCCUUAUGUAAUACAGCCUAGUGUAAGAUCACAAGUCGAUAGUGAUUACGACGCAACAGCUGCACAAACAUUGACAUCAAAUGCCAACCUUUUAGAUUCACAAAGAUACACGCACAACCAACAUCAGUCACUGAAUGCCAUAAACUGUCAAAUCUGUGAUGAACAUGGCUAUAUCCGUGUUCCACGGUCAUAUAACGUUAAUCAGUAUUUCGAACGAGCACAAAAACAUGACGACCAACAAAUAACACAACAGAUUCAGAACUCUGAUGAUUUACAGCAAGGAAAUAAUCAAUUCGAAACACUGGAAGACCUCGGUCAACAAACUCAAAAUCAGUGGGACAACCUCGAAAAUUUGGGUCAACAAACACAAGAUAGCUGGGGUAAAGCUGAAGACUUAAGUCAGCAAACUCAAAACAAUUUUGAUAAACUUGAAGACUUGGGACAACAAACGCAAAACCAUUGGGGUAAAUUAGAAGAUUUAGGGCAACAAACACAAAAUCAAUGGGACAACCUUGAAAAUUUGGGUCAGCAGACACAAGAUAGCUGGGGAAAAGCAGACGAGUUAAGCCAGCAAACUCAAACCAAUUUUGAUAAAUUGGAAGACUUGGGACAACAAACACAAAACCAUUGGGGUAAAUUAGAAGAUUUAGGGCAACAAACACAAAAUCAAUGGGACAACCUCGAAAAUUUGGGUCAGCAGACACAAGAUAGCUGGGGUAAAGCAGACGAGUUAAGCCAACAAACUCAAACCAAUUUUGAUAAAUUGGAAGACUUGGGACAACAAACACAAAAACAUUGGGGUAAAUUAGAAGAUUUGGGGCAACAAACACAAAAUCAACGGAGAAACCUCGAAAAUUUGGGUCAGCAGACACAAGAUAGCUGGGGUAAAGCUGAAGACUUAAGUCAGCAAACUCAAAACAAUUUUGAUAAAUUUGAAGACUUGGGGCAACAAACACAAAAUCAAUGGGGAAACCUCGAAAAUUUUGGUCAGCAGACACAAGAUAACUGGGAUAAGGCAAAGGACUUAAGCCAGCAAACUCAAAACAAUUUUGAUAAACUUGAAAGCUUUGGACAACAAACACAUCAUCACUGGAACAGUUUUAGCCGAGAACAAAAUCAACUGCAUCAUCACAACAUAUAUUUCAACUCUAUUCUAUGAUAAAUUUUUACUAUUGCUUCGGCAAUGCCUUGCCAAAGUGAGCUUCCUAAUAAUAAUUGUUAUGGCAAUAUUUGGGACCAUGGCAUCGACUUUACCAGCAGGUGGUUCCGGCGUGAUUUACUUCUGUUAUAUAACAACGUCCCUUUGCAGCAAUUUGUCGGCUGCAAUAUUCUGUGUAUUCAUUCUUACUUUUCAAAGAGAAUAUCAGUAUUUUUCC
rnacentral:misc_RNA from 1 species